rnacentral:miRNA from 1 species
UCGUGCCAGGAGUGCGUUUGC